GACGAACCGUGCGAACGUUGUUCGGAAUCACUGGGCUUAAAGGGCGCGUAGGCGGACUGCCAAGUCCGGGGUGAAAUCUUUCGGCUCAACCGGAAAAUAGCCUCGGAGACUGGCGGUCUAGAGUGAGGUAGGGGCAGCUGGAACUUCCGGUGGAGCGGUGAAAUGCGUUGAUAUCGGAAGGAACGCCGGUGGCGAAAGCGGCGAGCUGGAUCACUACUGACGCUGAGGAACGAAAGCUAGGGGAGCAAACAGG
rnacentral:rRNA from 1 species